rnacentral:rRNA from 1 species
GAUGAUGGCUCAGGAUGAACGCUGGCGGCGUGCCUAACACAUGCAAGUCGAGCGAAGCACUUUGCUUAGAUUCUUCGGAUGAAGAGGAUUGUGACUGAGCGGCGGACGGGUGAGUAACGCGUGGGUAACCUGCCUCAUACAGGGGGAUAACAGUUAGAAAUGACUGCUAAUACCGCAUAAGACCACAGCACCGCGUGGUGCGGGGGUAAAAACUCCGGUGGUAUGAGAUGGACCCG